rnacentral:lncRNA from 12 species
AGUGCAUGUGUGCUCCAGCCACGUUCUCCUGCGGGGUACACGUGGGCUCCGUGUGCGUUUCUAGCUUGGGGUCCUGUUCCUCCGCAGCCAAGGAUCGGGUCUGUGGGCGCCGGCCGGGCUUUUUCAAGGCACCAUAAACUCCGGGGGUGGGAGCAGCCUUGGACCCCGGGACAGUUACCCCUUUCUGCUUUUCGUUCUGGGUGUCCCGUGCCCCCAGCUCCUUCCAGCCCUGCUCCUGGCAGCCGAGCCGAGCUGGAGCGGGAGCGUUGGCGGCAGCCCGGAACCUGCCGGGCCACUUUUGUGCUAGGGGCGGAUUGUGGCAGGCAGACAGCCACGCCAAGUGGGCCUGGCAGAAAGGGGGCUCGGGCCUGCGCGAGGCCCUGGAAACCUCGGCUCCUCCCCGUCCCCGCCUCAGAGGCGCAGGAAACAAAGUCUCCGCCGCGCAGGCCGGCUGGGGAGGGACUCUGGCGGCUGGGCCCCGGGCCCACUGCGCAGUGGGGGCAUCUGGGCUGGGCUGCCCGCCUGUGGGCUCUUUCAAGUCGGAAUAAGCGGGUGGAUGGAGCCAGAGCGAGAGGCUAUGGUAGCGUGUUUAGGAAGGGUGGAGAGCCAUUCCCCGGAGCCCAGCGCCUCUCUCUAGGCAUUUCUUACCUCCCUCUUUUCCUCCUGGCACCCUCCCUUUCUUCCUUUUCCCUUUUACUUAUAUGGAUUUAUUCUACAGCUUUAAUCACUCAUCUAUGAAGUGAUAUAUGUAUGAGAUUAAUUAGUAAGUCUUGUUUGCUAUAGGGAAAUAUUUGAAGCAAUCUAAAUAUCCAUCGGGAGGGGAUUGGUAAAAUAAUUUACCCCCAGACUAGAAUUUAUACAGCAGCUAAAAAGAAUGUUCUAAUAUGGGAGGAUCUCUAAGAUAUGUAAAGGUCCACUGAAAAAAGCAAAAGGAGUACGCAGAGAAUACCAUUAGUUUAAAAGAAAUACAUAAAGGGCGUGUAUAUUUGUUUGAAGUUGCUUAUAAUCUUUCUAGGAGGAUGCAAAA